GGGAGAGCUAAGGCAGACUAGUCUGGGGAUGUUCUUCUCCUGGGUGAGAGGCUAAGUAUGAAUGGAGAGUCCAAGGAAGCCCCACGUCAACCAGGAUAAUGGUGCAGUUUGUGUGGAUAUCUUAUGGCUAUAGAGCCUUUAUGUUCUCUGGGAUAAAAAAAUAUUUCCCUCAAAUGCGAUAUUCUGCUUUAGACAACAUUGUACACCUUAAAAACAUCCCCAAAAUCAUAGAGCUCCAAAUUUCCAAGGCUCUUAUUUUGACUAACACACCAGAGAGUGAGAGAGAGAAGGAAAGAGGGAAGGAGAAAGGGAGGGAUAGAUGGAGAGAGAGGGAGAGAGAGAGGGAGGGAGAGAGGGAGCGAGGCAGGUAGAAGAAAGAAAACCAGACCUCCCACCUUCUUUAGUUUUUUAAUAGGUUUAAUUUACUAUAAGAUGAGAGUUUUAACCCCCAGAAAUGGUAAAAAAAAAAAAAACUGUAUGUUUUUGUGCAUUUAGAUGGUAAAAGAUUUAUAGUAGGCAUAAAGAAAACAGUGAUAGUUUAAAACUAAAUUAACUACUCCAAAGAAAUCCUUAGUUAAAAACUAACUAGACAGAUUGUUACAUAAUUAAAGUGAUAAUUUCUUCAAAUUUACUUCAUUAUAAAUAGCAUCGUACAUAUGUGAGAGAGAGAAUAAGGAGAAAUGGUUAGUUAACACUUGAAAUAUUUUGAACAGGAAUCCACACUUCAGAGAGGGCUGCUUAAAUUCUAAUUAUGAAAAUCUAUAUAUGAGACUUGUUUAUCAGCUAAAAAGAGAUCAGAAAUUUUUUUUUUCAGAACCCAAUAGAAAAAUGGGCAAAUAAAAUGAACAAACAAUUAACUGAAGGGAAAACUCAAGAUGCUAAAAAGCAUAUAAAGAUUUCUCAAACUCAUUAAUUCUAGAAAUGCAAAUUUAAACCAAAAUCUGACAUUACAGACCCAUCAGAUUGACAAAACUAGAGAGCUGGAUAGCAUCAAAGUUGGUGGAACUUGGAACCGCUGUGCACUAUUGGUGGGAACACAGGCAGGGGCUGGGGCGGCCAUGCUGGAAAGCAACCCAGCACCAUUAACUAGGACCCAGAAAUUCCCUUCUGAACAACCCCCAGGGAAGUUUUCUCAAAUGCACAUGGUAAAUGGGCAUGUUUGUUAUAGCAGCAUUUGCAGUACAAGGAGUUGAGGAAAUGGAGGAUGAAUGAUGAGGUGGAAGGUAUGCAGAUCAACAUGCAGCCUUGGAAGCCAUGUGUCAAAGAUGGCAGAGCCAGGAGAUGGAACCAGUUGGAAAAGCACUAUGUGCCAAUCAGGAACACUUGCUUUGGACUUUAUAGGAGCAAGUUCAUGUAAAGAAAUUAAAAAAGAAUUAAAACAUGUCAUAGGACAAAACUAAGAGAUGUAACAUUUCAUCAUCUAGUAACCAUUGUAUACACUUGGAUUUGUGUGUUUAGGUUUCUGCAUUUCCUUAAUCAGAUCUGUUACAUCUGCCUGCUUACCUCAGGAAUUAACCAAAAGAGUACUCCUCAUUUUAUUUCUUAAAUAAUCAAACGUCGUUUUAAAAAAUAAUAAGAAAUACCCAGGUGAGAAAUAUUCAAAUGUGGCUCUCUUUAUAGGGGUGGAAGCUAAAAUGAGGCCACUUAUGAAUAAAAAUCCAAUAUUUCUAAUGUGCUGGUCAAAUAUAUACGGUUAUAUUAAGUUUUUAAUUAUACAAGUGGCUUUAUUUUAACUCACUUAAGUUCGUGAGAUAACCCUAAUUGCCUAUUUAGUAUCCAUUUCCACUUUCUUACUAACAAAACAAUUCAAACUAUUCAGCCUCCCUGCUGUCCUUGCUGCUAGGCAUAGUGAUUCAAUUCAGUCUGGCAAUAAGAUGUGAGUGGCCCUGACGAAGAUGUUUUGUCUGAAAUAUAAAAGAAAGCUUUGUUGAGAGGUAGCCUUUUGCUUUCCCCCUUCCUCCUUAUUUCUACCUGGACCAUGGAUGAGAGGUUUGAAGGGCAGCAGCCACCUCAUAACCAUAAGGCACACCAAGACUGAGCCAGAAAGUCUGCAUGUUGAGGGUGACAAAACAGAGGGAUUUAAAGGAGCUGGGUUCUGGUGGCUUUGCCGAGCCACAGGAACAGCCUGGACUCCCUGCUACCCACCAACCCUACCCUACUUCUUAUAAUCUGUUAGUCAGUGUUAGUUGGUUUUCUAUUAUUUGCAGAAAAACAGAUUCCUGAUACCAUGUUAAUCUCUUGGUGAAACCCCGUCUCUACUAAAAAUACUCUGUCUCAAAAAAAAAAAAAAAAUACGGUGGACCCAUGUCAGAGUGAAUCCCUGAGUAAUCAAUGAGAUUAUGUAGAGACGAAACGUAUGACUCACUGGCAUCCCUGAAAGACAGAAAGAGAGAAAAAUCAACUUGGAAAACAUUCAAGGAUACUGUCCAUGAAAAUUUCCCCAACUUCACUAAAGAGGUUGACAUUCAAAUUCAGGAAAUUCAGAGAACCCCUGCAAGAUACUAUAUAAGAUGACCAUCACUGAGACACAUAGUCAUCAGAUUAUCCAAGGUCAACAUAAAAGAGAAAAUAUUAAAGACAGCUAGAGAGAAGAGGCAGGUCAACUUCAAAGAGAACCCCAUAAGGCUACCAGUGGGCCUUUCCACAGAAACCCCAUAAGCCCAAGGAGAUUGGGGGCCUAUAUUCACCAUUAGGGGAACCUCAUAAGGCCACCAGUGGACUCUAUAAGCCCAAGGAGAUUGAGGGCCUAUAUUUAUCAUCCGUAAAGAAAAUAAAUUCCAAACAAGAAUUUUAUAUCCAGCCAAACUAAGCUUCAUAAGCAAAAGAAAAACAAAAUCCUUUUAAGACAACCAAAUGCUAAGGGAAUUUCUUACCACAAAACCUGCAUUACAAGAAGUCUUCAAGGGAGCACUAAAUAUGGAAACAAAAGACCAUUAUAGGCCACCACAAAAACAAACUUAAGUACAUAGACUAUAUACACUAUAAAGCAACUGCACAAUCAAGUCUACAUUAAAAACCAGCUAACAACAUGACAGGACCAAUCCACACAUAUUAAUAGUAACCUUGAACAUACACAGGCUAAACAUCCCACUAAAAAGGCACAGAGUAGCAAGCUGGAUAAUGAAGCAAUACCCAACAAUAUGCUAUCAUCAAGACACCCACCUUAUGUGUAAUACACACAUAGGCUAAAAGUAAAAGGAUGGAGAAAGAUCUGUCAAACAAAUGGAAAACAAAAAACAGCAGGGAUUGCUAUUCUUAUUUUGGACAAAAUAGACUUUAAACCAACAAUAAUCCAAAAGGGUGUCACAUCAUGAUAAAAGGUUCCAUUCAACAAGAAGACUUAACUAUCCUAAAUAUAUAUGCACCCAACACUGGAGCACCCAGAUUCAUAAAACAAGUUCUUAGAGACCUACAAAGAAACUUGAAUCAUCACUCAAUAAUAGUGGAAGACUUCAACACCCCACUGACAGUAUUAGAAAAACCACUGAGGCAGAAAAAUAACAAAUAUAUUU
rnacentral:lncRNA from 10 species